rnacentral:rRNA from 1 species
GAUGAACGCUGGCGGCGUGCCUAAUACAUGCAAGUCGAGCGAACAGACGAGGAGCUUGCUCCUCUGACGUUAGCGGCGGGCGGGUGAGUAACACGUGGAUAACCUACCUAUAAGACUGGGAUAACUUCGGGAAACCGGAGCUAAUACCGGAUAAUAUAUUGAACCGCAUGGUUCAAUAGUGAAAGACGGUUUUGCUGUCACUCAUAGAUGGAUCCGCGCCGCAUUAGCUAGUUGGUAAGGUAACGGCUUACCAAGGCAACGAUGCGUAGCCGACCUGAGAGGGUGAUCGGCCACACUGGAACUGAGACACGGUCCAGACUCCUACGGGAGGCAGCAGUAGGGAAUCUUCCGCAAUGGGCGAAAGCCUGACGGGGCAACGCCGCGUGAGUGAUGAAGGUCUUCGGAUCGUAAAACUCUGUUAUUAGGGAAGAACAAAUGUGUAAGUAACUAUGCACGUCUUGACGGUACCUAAUCAGAAAGCCACGGCUAACUACGUG